rnacentral:lncRNA from 1 species
GUCCCCUUGGGGUAGGAAGUCAACGCUGGCAAGAGGAAAAAAUGUUGCAUUUAUGAAAAUAGCAUUGAUUUUCAGCUAAAAUCAUUGUGUUUAAAGUAUUUUUAAAACCACCGAUGCCCUGGAGAUUUCUCAGCCCACCUGCUGCUCUCCUUCCCCUCCGCCAGGCUAUGGGCUGGGGCACUGCCCCACCGCGCUGCUCCCUGCUCAAGGCAGCAGCUUCACUCCGACAUGCCAAAACAUGCACCUCUGCAGCCGUGCUAUUGCCAGAGAAAUUAAUCAAUAUAAUGCAACACAGGCUGCCAGAUCACCCACCACUAAAAAGCCCCAGACGCUGAGUUAUUUGUGAAUGACUUGACAGGCUCCCUGCUUACCUGGCUCUGUCGGUGUUAGAAAAACUCCCUCCCCAUCCAAGUAUACAGAGCUGUGUGCUACAAUUCCUUUGUCACUGCACAAAUAAGACAAGGCAAGGCCAUAUUAAACGAUUUAUCUCCUCCAUGAUCCACAGCACCUAUAUACACGACAUUUAUAAAAAAUCCUUUUAUUCCUAAGGUGAACCAAGGCUGGAACCUCUAACAGCUCUACAUGUCCUGAUUAAGCAAGAUGUGCUACAGCGUAUGCUUGAUAUAAAUUGCUUCUAAUUAAUUUUGGAGUGUAACAUUUGGAUAUUUACGGGCUCAAAGAAGUUAUGAAUCUUCUACCAUUUCACUGAUGCCUGCACUAUGAAUUAUUUAUGACUGAGUCAUCACGCACAGACAAACCCCCAGCCAUAUAGGUGAUCUCUGCCAGCUUACUUCUCCAGCUCAAACACAAAGUCUGCCAUUGCCUUCCUGAAGACCCCAGAGCUCCGCACAAAAGGAGGUGGUGACAAAGAGGCAGAAACCUAAUUAUUUGCACAUAAAUGAUGAACACGGCUGCCAGGUGCUGUCAGCACCAACAAAAAGCAGGUUCAAUUGGCAAAAAGUUUCUCCGUAAAGCUGCAGUUCCCUUGAGCCCCAAGCUUAAGGGCUCACUGGAUACCUUCCCAGGCUACGUAAGCAUUGACAGAAGAAUUGUGAAAAGCUGGAAGAAGGGGAAAACGAUACCAGGUCAGCUUUGUUUUCUAUUGUUAGCUUCCCCCUGGAAAAUGAAAAGCACCGAGUUUACCAGAUAGUCCUGCUGGGAGAGCCCGGCACAAAACCAAGGCGAGCUCACAUUACUGCUGUGUGCCUCCCACCACGAGCCAGAGGACACAUUGAUCUCAGCUAAGUUGAUUUAGCUCAAUCUGCAGUCUUUCUCCUUUUAUAUUACAUUAGG